rnacentral:rRNA from 1 species
CCUACGGGGGGCAGCAGUGGGGAAUAUUGCACAAUGGGGGAAACCCUGAUGCAGCGACGCCGCGUGAGUGAAGAAGUAUUUCGGUACGUAAAGCUCUAUCAGCAGGGAAGAAAAUGACGGUACCUGACUAAGAAGCCCCGGCUAACUAAGUGCCAGCAGCCGCGGUAAUACGUAGGGGGCAAGCGUUAUCCGGAUUUACUGGGUGUAAAGGGAGCGUAGACGGCAGCGCAAGUCUGGAGUGAAAUCCCAUGGCUUAACCAUGGAACUGCUUUGGAAACUGUGCAGCUAGAGUGCAGGAGAGGUAAGCGGAAUUCCUAGUGUAGCGGUGAAAUGCGUAGAUAUUAGGAGGAACACCAGUGGCGAAGGCGGCUUACUGGACUGUAACUGACGUUGAGGCUCGAAAGCGUGGGGAGCAAACAGGAUUAGAUACCCGAGUAGUC